rnacentral:tRNA from 1 species
AAGGAUUUAAGUUAAACAAACUAGUGGCCUUCAAAGCCACCAAUAAGAAACUCUUCUUAAGCCUUA